rnacentral:lncRNA from 1 species
AAUCAAAGAACAGAGUUCACAUAAUUUUUUCAUGAUUGCCUAUUUGAAUCUGAGAGGCUUUUGACUUUACUGAUGUGACUUCUUGUAGAAGCAAUUUACCAAAAAUGUAGGCAUUAAUCCCAAAGACACUUUUGAUGAACUUUUUGAAAUUGAGCAACCAUAAUAACUCACUAAGCAUCCAAAUAGGUUGGAAUUUUCUGCAUUCUGCGUGCCAAAAAAGAUAAAAUCUAUAAGUCUUUGUCUUGGUCUGAUAAAUAAUUGCAAACAACUCAUAGUCUUAAUUCAAUUGGAAUCCACAUUUGCAUAAAUGCCUCUCUUUAUUCCUAAUUUGAAUGAUUUUGUCAAAUUCCAAUUGAAGGUUAUGAACUUGCAAUGCUUAAUUGAAUUUGAUGAAUUAAAGCAUAUCUCCAAAUCCAUACAUGGCGCCCACAGGGUGAUGCAGAUAAAAAUUAGGAAAAAUUCAUAAUUAUAAUUUUAUUAUUCUUUGAAUUUAUCUUUUUAGGAAUGGGUAGCAUGAGGUUUUAGGAAAAGUAAAUCUUGGUGUAAGUUGGUUUUUUUUUAGCUUAUCUUAGAUUUAGUGAGAGAUUUAAGGUGAUUUAAAUAUGGGAAGGAUAUGGGGAGUAUGUAAAGAUUGGGGAGUUUCCUUGAUUCAAGGGACUCUACGUGAUGGGUAGAGAGACACG